GGUCUGGGGUGACAAUGGCAGGCUUCUGCUGCUAGAAGUGAACAGAAUCACUUCUGAUUUAACCCCGUGUCUCCUUUGACAUUCCUCUGGCCAACUUGGUCUUCAAAGCACAAGGAUUUAGAAGAUGAGAAGGAUUUUCCAGACAUAAAGGAAGAAAGGAAGAAAUCAAGAGCUGUAAACAAGGGGGACAAAGAAGCUAAGACAGUAUCCUUUGUAUUUCUAAGUGGCCUUCACUUCCUGGUGUCAGAAGAACAAACCCCUGUGCCGGAUGCUCCAGAUUCGAGCACUGGGAGGAUGAAAAGGCAAACCAACGCCUUGCUAUGAUUUGCUCAAUUAACCCGGACGAGAUGAACAGACUUCCCCUAACAGGCUUCCAAGGCAUGUGAUCUCCAGCCAUCCCGAAGGCUGAACAUUAACUGGUAAAUAAGGCUAGAAAAUUCAUGCUGGAGACAUUAAGUUUUGAUCUAUGAUAACCAAGGCUUCAUUCACCAUCACUACCACAGGAUGGCCACAGAACAGGAUUUCAGAGGGAUGGCACACGAUGGGUGCUGUUAGCAUAUGACGUGGGGAGAAUGUGCAAAGCAAGCAGACAGCGUGGCAGAUGGAAGCAUACUCACCUUGUGAGAGGAGUAGUUCUGGACCUUCCUUUUGCAAUUUCUUCAGCUGUGGCUCUGGAAGAUGAGCAUAUGCCCCGAGAAAGACAGUGGAAUAAGCAGUCUCUCUGUGAUUAUUUUCCCCCUUGCCUUUCCUCUGAUUUCACCCUCACACUCUACCUCGUGGUCAAGGAAAACUCUCUCUUAAAGCACCAACACCCACGCUCUCCUUUCCAUCCAUUUAACCCACCACGGCAGGCACGAGGCGUAGUGCCCAGCAUGUGUCUCUUCUCUUUUCCCUGCAUCACCUGUUUCAUCCUCUUCCUCACAUCCUUCUCCCAGCCCUCCCCCCACUACAUCCCUCUUUGUCUUCCUACUUCUUUUUCUAUCCCCACCCCUCUGUGAGUCCCUCUCUCCUCCCGAUCUGCUCAUCCAUGUCUUUUCUCCACAGUGUGGAACAAAGAUCUAAUGAUUUUCUACAGCAUUCUGAAUUGUUUAAUUUUAAAAAGGAAUUUGGGAAAAGCCAGAUUUGGGUUUAUAAAUAACACCUUUCCUGUUCAUUGAGACUCAUCUACAUCAUGACACGGAUGUUUGAUUUUUAAACUGCACGGCUGUCACUGUAAAGUUAGAAAAAUGAAACCUAAUGAAAUUGUGGUACGGUGGGCUUGCUGUUCUCUCCUUAGGAAAACAAUUUCCAGCAACACUGUUAUUAAGUACUGAAAAGAUUUACUCAAAGUGAAAGUCACAUAAAAUUUCUAAAUGACCUCGAU